rnacentral:rRNA from 1 species
AAAUUGAAGAGUUUGAUCAUGGCUCAGAUUGAACGCUGGCGGCAGGCCUAACACAUGCAAGUCGAACGGUAACGGGAAGCAGCUUGCUGCUUCGCUGACGAGUGGCGGACGGGUGAGUAAUGUCUGGGAAACUGCCUGAUGGAGGGGGAUAACUACUGGAAACGGUGGCUAAUACCGCAUAACGUCGCAAGACCAAAGAGGGGGACCUUCGGGCCUCUUGCCAUCAGAUGUGCCCAGAUGGGAUUAGC